ACCAAAGUGCGACGUAGUCGCAACAGUUGGGAAGCUGUGCCAUAGAGGGUGAAAGCCCCGUAGACGAAACGUCACACUCUCUGUUCAGGAUCCUGAGUACGGCGGGACACGUGAAACCCCGUCGGAACCCGCGAGGACCAUCUCGCAAGGCUAAAUACUCCCUAGUGACCGAUAGUGAACCAGUACCGUGAGGGAAAGGUG
rnacentral:rRNA from 1 species